ACAACUCUGGAGAGACUGUCUAGUCCACAACACAACUCUGGAGAGACUGUCUAGUCCACAACACAACUCUGGAGAGACUGUCUAGUCCACAACACAACUCUGGAGAGACUGUCUAGUCCACAACACAACUCUGGAGAUGCUGUCUAGUCCACAACACAACUCUGGAGAUGCUGUCUAGUCCACAUCACAACUCUGGAGAGACUGUCUAGUCCACAACACAACUCUGGAGAGACUGUCUAGUCCACAACACAACUCUGGAGAGACUGUCUAGUCCACAACACAACUCUGGAGAGACUGUCUAGUCCACAACACAACUCUGGAGAGACUGUCUAGUCCACAACACAACUCUGGAGAUGCUGUCUAGUCCACAACACAACUCUGGAGAGACUGUCUAGUCCACAACACAACUCUGGAGAGACUGUCUAGUCCACAACACAACUCUGGAGAGACUGUCUAGUCCACAACACAACUCUGGAGAGACUGUCUAGUCCACAACACAACUCUGGAGAGACUGUCUAGUCCACAACACAACUCUGGAGAGACUGUCUAGUCCACAACACAACUCUGGAGAGACUGUCUAGUCCACAACACAACUCUGGAGAGACUGUCUAGUCCACAACACAACUCUGGAGAGACUGUCUAGUCCACAACACAACUCUGGAGAGACUGUCUAGUCCACAACACAACUCUGGAGAGACUGUCUAGUCCACAACACAACUCUGGAGAGACUGUCUAGUCCACAACACAACUCUGGAGAGACUGUCUAGUCCACAACACAACUCUGGAGAGACUGUCUAGUCCACAACACAACUCUGGAGAGACUGUCUAGUCCACAACACAACUCUGGAGAGACUGUCUAGUCCACAACACAACUCUGGAGAGACUGUCUAGUCCACAACACAACUCUGGAGAGACUGUCUAGUCCACAACACAACUCUGGAGAGACUGUCUAGUCCACAUCACAACUCUGGAGAGACUGUCUAGUCCACAACACAACCCUGCAGAGACUGUCUAGUCCACAACACAACUCUGGAGAUGCUGUCUAGUCCACAACACAACUCUGGAGAUGCUGUCUAGUCCACAUCACAACUCUGGAGAGACUGUCUAGUCCACAACACAACUCUGUAGAUGCUGUCUAGUCCACAACACAACUCUGGAGAUGCUGUCUAGUCCACAUCACAACUCUGGAGAGACUGUCUAGUCCACAACACAACUCUGGAGAGACUGUCUAGUCCACAACACAACUCUGGAGAGACUGUCUAGUCCACAACACAACUCUGCAGAGACUGUCUAGUCCACAUCACAACUCUGGAGAGACUGUCUAGUCCACAACACAACUCUGGAGAUGCUGUCUAGUCCACAACACAACUCUGGAGAGACUGUCUAGUCCACAACACAACUCUGGAGAUGCUGUCUAGUCCACAACACAACUCUGGAGAGACUGUCUAGUCCACAACACAACUCUGGAGAGACUGUCUAGUCCACAACACAACUCUGGAGAGACUGUCUAGUCCACAACACAACUCUGGAGAGACUGUCUAGUCCACAACACAACUCUGGAGAGACUGUCUAGUCCACAACACAACUCUGGAGAGACUGUCUAGUCCACAACACAACUCUGGAGAUGCUGUCUAGUCCACAACACAACUCUGGAGAGACUGUCUAGUCCACAACACAACUCUGGAGAGACUGUCUAGUCCACAUCACAACUCUGGAGAGACUGUCUAGUCCACAACACAACUCUGGAGAGACUGUCUAGUCCACAACACAACUCUGGAGAUGCUGUCUAGUCCACAACACAACUCUGGAGAUGCUGUCUAGUCCACAACACAACUCUGGAGAGACUGUCUAGUCCACAACACAACUCUGGAGAGACUGUCUAGUCCACAACACAACUCUGGAGAGACUGUCUAGUCCACAACACAACUCUGGAGAGACUGUCUAAUCCACAACACAACUCUGGAGAUGCUGUCUAGUCCACAACACAACUCUGGAGAGACUGUCUAGUCCACAUCACAACUCUGGAGAUGCUGUCUAGUCCACAACACAACUCUGGAGAGACUGUCUAGUCCACAACACAACUCUGGAGAGACUGUCUAGUCCACAUCACAACUCUGGAGAGACUGUCUAGUCCACAACACAACUCUGGAGAGACUGUCUAGUCCACAACACAACUCUGGAGAGACUGUCUAGUCCACAACACAACUCUGGAGAGACUGUCUAGUCCACAACACAACUCUGGAGAGACUGUCUAGUCCACAACACAACUCUGGAGAGACUGUCUAGUCCACAACACAACUCUGGAGAGACUGUCUAGUCCACAACACAACUCUGGAGAGACUGUCUAGUCCACAACACAACUCUGGAGAGACUGUCUAGUCCACAACACAACUCUGGAGAUGCUGUCUAGUCCACAACACAACUAUGGAGAGACUGUCUAGUCCACAACACAACUCUGGAGAGACUGUCUAGUCCACAACACAACUCUGGAGAGACUGUCUAGUCCACAACACAACUCUGGAGAGACUGUCUAGUCCACAACACACUCCUGCUUCCUGCUUCCUGCUUCCUGGCCUUUUUAUAUUCAUUUAUCCUUGUCUCUGACAUUUUUUAUAGUUUUAAGAUGUUGUUUUUAAUGAUGAGCCUGGGAAAACCAAAAAUGAUGUAUCGGAAGUUUGGGGAAGAACUACUGAUUUGGAAGGUUAAAUUAGAUUAGGUUAAAUUAAGUUAAAUUAGGUUAGGUUAAAUUAGAUUAGGUUCAAUUAGGUUAAUUUAGAUGAGGUUAAAUUAGGUUAAGUUAGGUUAAAUUAGGUUAAGUUAAAUUAGGUUAAAUUAGAUUAGGUUAAAUUAGGUUCAAUCAGAUUAGGUUCAAUUAGGCUAGGUUAAUUUAGAUUAGGUUAAAUUAGGUUAGGUUGUUAGGCUAGGGCAACAUUCCAAAUGGCACUUAUUCCCUACAUAAGUGCACUAGUUUUGAACAGAGUUCUGUGGCCACUGGUCAAAAUGAGUGUACCAUAUAGGGAAUAGGGUGCCAUUUGGGACACAACCUAGGUUAUACAAGAUGGAGUCCCUGUUAGGACUGUGUGGUGGUGACGGGGGAUGGGCUGGAGCCUGGGGCUGGGUACCUUGUAUACUACACCAUACUGCUGCUUGGCUGUGCCAGCAUGUCUAGAAGUUAAACCUUUCAUUGUCAAAUCAAGUGCCUUCAGUUGUAUUGUUUUGAGAGAAUAAGAGGGAAAAAAACAAAGGAAGGCCAAGUUUUCUGUAUUGUAGUGUAUUGUAGUGUAUUGUAGUGUAUUGUAGUGUAUUGUGUAUCGUGACUUCAAGCAAUAAUGAUGUAUCGUAGAAAUGGUAUUAUUGACGAACAGAACCACACUUCCCUUCACUUCCCCAAAUGUUUAAUGAUCAAACGUGUAUUUCUAUUGUCAAAGGUUUUAUAAAAACGUGAGAUGGAACUUUCUUUUAAAUCCUCUUUAUUGUCCCUUGUCUUUAUUCAAGCCUUAUUCACGGUUGUUCUGGUCUGUUACUACAGGUUAUGCUGUAAUAUGCUGUAUAAUAGAUCAAACAGAUUCACUGUUUGUUUGUUUACUUUAGUGUUUAUGUUGUUGUUGGAUUUAUAUGUUUGUUUUUAUCACUAAAUGACAUUUCUCUUUUUACAGAGAAACAGACCGAUUCCGUUACAAGUUGUCUCUCACCGCGUUAGGAUGUUUAACUGGACAAUUAGGUUAAAUCAGAUUAGGCUGUAAUGAUUUGAUCAAUAUUGAUGUAUUGAUGUGACCUUUUUGAUCACACGCUCUGCUUUCAUUCUUUCACUAUUACGUUAAGAUAUUCCUAAUCAAUACCCCCCCCCCUCCACACACACACACAAAAAAAAAAUGUCAAACUUAAAAGAAGAACAAAAGGCACUUUUGGAUCAAUAAGGGCUUGUUUGAUAUAUCUGCAUCCUGCAUGGCACCCUAUUCCCUACACAGUGCACUACUAUAUAUAGGGAAUAGGGUGCAUUUUAAGAGCCAGCCAUUGUCUCCCCAUCUGAAAGGCAGUCUACAGAUGUCCUGUUGUAGACCUGCUGUGCUGCUGAAACAAGACGGUGGUUAGGACCUGUUUUAUCUGGUGAGAAGAGCACGUCAUGACGGUUAGAGAGGGAAGGUUAGAGGUUACAGCCGGGGUUAGAUUUGAAUCAAUGGUCAAUGUGAGUUACAGUAAUGUGGGCUUUAGUUGGUGUACAGGUAGAAUUUCUCCUUAUGAAUAAACAACCAGUUCUGGUUUUACAGUCAGGAAUUGUUGUGAUAUGACAGAGUCCAAAGAGUGAUCUUUUUCCCCCCUUAGUGAUUCUUCUUUCAACUGAUACGGAAUCUAAUUUCACGGAGCGAGAAAAAAAAAAACCUAAAUGAUUUGUUAUUAUCAACCUUUGUCCAUCUGUCUACCUAUAUACACAUGUACGUACGUAUAAGCUAAUGAGAAUAUGUCAAUUAUAGGUUAGGGUUUCAAGGUAACCGAGGUGUCUAGACGGUCAUUGUGAUGAACUAAACUUGAGGAUUCUAAAGGAUUCUAGAAGUUCUAGAAUAGAACAGACAAGUACGUGAUUCUUCCGGAAUGAUUUCUUGUCACGUGUUCACAUUCUGACAACACUACAACAACGUUGGUUAUACAGUGACUUAUCUUGUUAAAGUUUGGUGGUUGAAUAAAUGAUGUAUUUGUCACAUAAGUGUGAUUUUUUUUUUAAAAUGCUUAGCUAGUUUUGUUAGACUAUUAGUUAACUGUUGACUGUUUGUGUAGUACUAAUCACUCACGUUUAAAGGAUUGGUAUUUAGGUAUUGUCUAAAUGCACACGUCAAAAAUGAAUUUAUAUGUUCAGUAACGAUGAUCUCUAAAUCUUUUCAGAGAUAAUAUGUACAUGUAUUGUAGAAACAAAUUGUGUUCCAUAUGUAUCCCUUUCUGUAAUACUUUACAAUUGGCCUGGAAUUAUGUAUAUACUGUAGUAAUAAAGUAUAUACUGUA